UUUAAGCCCUAAAUAUGAUUUAUUUUCUUAUAUCU
rnacentral:tRNA from 1 species